rnacentral:rRNA from 1 species
CGGCGAUUAAUCUGAGUAUCUAGUGGGCCAUUUUUGGUAAGCAGAACUGGCGCUGUGGGAUGAACCAAACGUCGAGUUAAGGGGCCUUAAUGAAUGCUCAUUCAGAUACCAUCGAAAGGCGUUGGUUGCUAUAGACAGCAGGACGGUGGCCAUGGAAGUCGGAAUCCGCUAAGGAGUGUGUAACAACUCACCUGCCGAAGCAACUAGCCCUUAAAAUGGUAUGGCGCUGAAGCAUUCUCCCGAUGCCCGACCGCCGGGGCCAGCAUGAGCUGCAGCCACGUCCCAGAGGCGAGGCGAGUUCUCAUAGCCCCGGUGAGUAAGAGGGUCACAGUGGUGAGCGCUGAAGGGAUCCGGCGUCAGCCGGCCUGGAGCCGCCACUGGUGCAGAUCUUGGUGGUAGUAGCAAAUACUCGAGAGAGACUCCCUUGAAGACCGAUGUGGAGAAGGGUUCCAUGUGAACAUCAGUUGGACAUGGGUUAGUCGCUCCUAAGCCCAAGGCUAAGGCCUGAUCCCAUGCUAGCGGC